AAUUCAAUUUUAUUUUUUAUUAUUUACAGUAUUAAAAUUUUCGAAGCCAUGGGAGUAAAGGUCCAGAGACCUCGUUGCUUUUUCGACAUAGCCAUCAACAAUGUUCCUGCUGGAAGAGUGGUCUUUGAACUAUUUUCUGAUGUGUGUCCAAAGACAUGUGAGAAUUUUCGCUGCCUUUGCACAGG